ACAACAUUCGGACCGUCGGUCUACCGAGCAAUAUUCACACGCUCGGUGGAAGAUCUUCCAUUCACCGU
rnacentral:pre_miRNA from 1 species